GGUAUUUUAUUAUAAUUUAUUAUUUUUAAUUUUUUAUUAAGAGAUUUUUAUUAGUA
rnacentral:tRNA from 1 species